rnacentral:tRNA from 1 species
GCCUGGCUGGCUCCUUCAAUGGAGCAUGCGACUCUUGAUCUCAUAGCUGUGGGUUCGAGCCCCAUGUCGGGUG